GCAAUAUCAGAACCUUUUAAUUGGGCACUGUCUUCAACACAGAAUAUGCUACUAACAUGUAUGUUUCCCUGCUGCUUCAAAAGAAAACUGAUGCCAAAAGCCAAGUCCCCAAUAGGCCACUUGCCCAGGGUCUCCGAGUAAGUAAACCUAAGAGUCUCAGACAAUGUUGCGAUUGUUUCCAACCAUGUAGCAGGGGCCUGUAUAAGUCUAUUGGAAACCCUAUUAACUCCUAGCAGAGCAUGAUCUUGGCCGCUGCUGCCACAUUCAUCGUCGUCAUCAUCCGUUGUUGGAGAAGAUUGCAACUUCUUAUUUAAUGUAUAAUACAAUAGUGCUGCAGCACCUGCUGCAGUGGCGAGAGUUGCCGUCGCCAUCAGUUUCCGAAACCUGCGGAGAUCGAUUGUAGCAGAACAAAAUUGAAUCUUGGACUGAUUACUUCAAUUGUAAGGAACUCAAAGCUUGGAGAACAAAAGUAAAGUAUCGAAAUUUUGACAAAAUCCAAUAAAGUUGAUGGCUUAAAAUGGGAAGUGGACUAUCUCUG
rnacentral:misc_RNA from 1 species